GAGGAAUAUUGGGCAAUGCCCGCAAGGGUGACCCAGCAACGCCGCGUGGAGGAUGAAUGUCGUAAGAUUGUAAACUCCUGUUAGAGGGGAAGAAUAGUACCGGUUGGACCGGUAUAUGACUGUACCCUCAGAGAAAGCCCCGGCUAACUACGUGCCAGCAGCCGCGGUAAUACGUAGGGGGCAAGCGUUGUCCGGAUUUACUGGGUGUAAAGGGUGCGCAGGCGGAUGGGUAAGUCAGGGGUGAAAGUCUGCAGCUUAACUGUAGAAUUGCCUUUGAUACUGCUCAGCUUGAGUGUGGGAGAGGUUGAGGGAAUUCCAGGUGUAGCAGUGAAAUGCGUAGAUAUCUGGAAGAACACCAGUGGCGAAGGCGGUCAACUGGCCCAUAACUGACGCUCAUGCACGAAAGCGUGGGGAGCAAACA
rnacentral:rRNA from 1 species